rnacentral:rRNA from 1 species
GUGGGUAGUUUGACUGGGGCGGUCUCCUCCCAAAGAGUAACGGAGGAGCACGAAGGUUGGCUAAUCCUGGUCGGACAUCAGGAGGUUAGUGCAAUGGCAUAAGCCAGCUUGACUGCGAGCGUGACGGCGCGAGCAGGUGCGAAAGCAGGUCAUAGUGAUCCGGUGGUUCUGAAUGGAAGGGCCAUCGCUCAACGGAUAAAAGGUACUCCGGGGAUAACAGGCUGAUACCGCCCAAGAGUUCAUAUCGACGGCGGUGUUUGGCACCUCGAUGUCGGCUCAUCACAUCCUGGGGCUGAAGUAGGUCCCAAGGGUAUGGCUGUUCGCCAUUUAAAGUGGUACGCGAGCUGGGUUUAGAACGUCGUGAGACAGUUCGGUCCCUAUCUGCCGUGGGCGCUGGAGAAUUGAGGGGGGCUGCUCCUAGUACGAGAGGACCGGAGUGGACGCAUCACUGGUGUUCGGGUUGUCAUGCCAAUGGCACUGCCCGGUAGCUAAAUGCGGAAGAGAUAAGUGCUGAAAGCAUCUAAGCACGAAACUUGCCCCGAGAUGAGUUCUCCCUGAGACUUUAAGUCUCCUGAAGG